rnacentral:lncRNA from 1 species
AUUUGAUAUAAAGGAAAGCAAAAAAUUAUCGAAGAAUACAUAUAUAAUUGGUAGCAGAACCUUCCAGCCGAACUCUGAAUGUUUAGAAAUGGAGGUUUGGUCCGUCAGACCACAGAUAGCGCCCGAUUUAUCUAAUAGCCAGGAUCAUAGUGCUAGGAAACGACAGCUCUUCUGAAACACUGGCGAAGAACAAUCACCCAUCUUUAUACUUAACCCAAGCUCGUCCAAGCAUAUUUUAUGUCCAAUAUUGUGAAGUAAACGUCUUUGGCAGGUGACUUUUGGGGUCUGUUAUCUUUUUUUGGGCAGUUCUCCCAAGGCUGCAUGGGUCACUGGUAUACGACGCAAAUGACCACAUCUGUACUAAAGGGUAUUCGAGAGUUUUUGCAAGAUAUCUUGGUUUUUGUUAGAUGACUUUUGUGUCUGGGAGAUGAUUGAGCCUUUCUUGAAGAUCGUUGGAUGCAAUCUACCGUUUUCCUAAAGCAAAUAUUGUGUUCAGAAGCUUGGGCUAAAUAAUUUGCCAUCGUACCCCCCCUGGCUUAGUCUGUUUAUAGCCGUACGGCUGUUGCCGUCGUCGUCGGUCGUAACAAUUACGCGGGAGUCUCAAGGAUCACCAGGGAUUUCCUGUACAACUCAAUAGAGGCGGUGUCUGGUCAACCGACCAAGUACUCCAUGCUAAUCGGAUAACAAGUGCUUCGCCAGUCAGGGGGCAAAUUAUCGUUUUGAAAUUGGACAGGUUUGGUAAAUCAACACUUCCCAGGCUAUCGAUCGUCACUGCUUUCCCAUACUCAAAAUAUCACACGUCAAAACCUGCAUGUGCGUCUCUGCAUAAAUAGAACGAUUUAAAUUUUUUUCAUAUUUCUAUAAUUGUAAGCGAAUGUUUGGGGGGCAUGACUUUUGACUUUAUUACGAUUUAUUAUAUCAUUUAUAAUUUAGGCUUAUUCUGCCGUAAUUUUCUAACUGCUAUGGCUGUAUAUAGAAACCUUUGACAUCGAUAAUUUAGAGAGAGUUGAAUGAUGUUUAAAUCGUCACUGAUAUAUAUUAAUAUAACACUUAAUAUGAAUAAAAUGCUAGCUAUCUUAUAUACAUGCAUGUGGAGCAAUUAAGUGCGUAUCAUUAUCAUUAGACUAUUUGUGUUGGCAUGAAUAUUUCGUUGGAGCUUAAUCCUCGCGAACGUGCAGACGAUCUGGUAUAUUUUUCUUGGUAUAUUCUACUGUUUUGUGUAACUGAAAAAAAGGUUCUUUCAAACGUCUAGUUUAUUAUGGCUGAGUUAUAUCUGCUAGCCUUUUAAGACGCCUAGUAUAGCUACAUCUCGUUUACAUAUAAAUAUAGUCCGUGAAGUAAAACUAUAUAAAGUAGUUUGUCUGUUCUGUAUAGAGCUUACGAUGAAAGGCGUUCUCAUCCUUGUUCAAUUUAAGUUGUCUAUUCAGGAGAGGGCCGUUCAGAGUUUUAGCUUUGAGUUAUCAAUCGUGCAUGAUGUAUCAUCGGGAAUUAUGAGAAUCGUGCCUUAGUCAGAGUAUAUGGGCUAAUUGGUAUAGUCCUUCCUUCAUAUCAGCCCCCUGUUUCCAUUUCUCUGCAGGGUAUGUGAAAGUAACAAGCGUUAUAUUAUAGUUAACGUACAUAAUUUCACGUUGUUUUAACAAUUUAAUGGCAUGAUUAGACCUCCAACGUGGAAAAUGUGCCACGCUCCAUACCUUGCCUGCAUUUAUGCCACUUGCGUUUGAUAGGCUUAUGAGCUUAUUUAUGAGUGUAAGUCGAGUAUAUUCCGUUUUGACUGACCGAAAUUGCUGCUAUGGUCAAUAGUGUAUUCUGGUCAUACAAUGAUUGGAGAGUUAGAUCUUUCUUUAGAACAUUUUUUAAAAAGAAUUCAACGAUGAAGAAUUUCAAAAAUUGCUUUUGAUAGGGCAUGUGUAUAGGCCUAUUAUUAGCUGUUCAAGUGAAGUAUCGCCGUGGCAACUGCAAAAUAUAAUUUAUUUAUUUUUCUCGAACGUUGCUACAGCAAUACUUGCUUCACGAUUAAUAUGCGGUGUAAAAAAUGUUCAGCUUUAAAUAAAAACUAAAGAAGGGAACAUUUUAAAAAAUUUUGUUUGUUACGUUAAAAAGUACUUCCCGCAGUCAAACAUAUAUCUUGCGAUGCUUUGUACGCCCACUCCUUUGAACUUGCUUUGAACCUGCAUUGAAAAUUGCUUGUCUAAUACACUUCCUUCGACGCCACGCAGCUUCUAGUGAAGCACCUACUUCAGUUAACUACAUCUUGUUGUCAUGACAACCUCGAGUCUAUGCUGAUAAUAACUAAGUCGCUAAAACCUUGCGUCAAUGAGUCAACGAAACACUGCGAUAUAGCUCUGCAAUUAGUAUAAUAGCUCUAAGAAAUUGGUAAAUCGACAUACAUUCGUAAUAAAGAAAAAAAAUCCUGCUGUACUGGUAUAUUUGAUCGUUUUCGCAGGAGUAAUAGUACUGCAUGUAAAGUCUUCUUUGAACAGCCAAGAAUAUAUUCAUAAACCUCGUGAAGUGCAUAAUCAUCACAUUAAUUUUUGCAUGUAAACUGUAUAUUCCGUAUUUAUUAUAGAGUCUUGAAUUAAGGUCUGUUAGGUAAGUUCGGGCACUUUACUAUCGUAUAGUUGUACAUUGUACAAAGACUUAUGUACCAAAUAUAUCGCUAAGCACUGUGCAAUUAAAACCCACAGACAACAGUGGAAGGACUACAAACGAACAUCAGGAACGUCACACUCACAGUUAGAUAGACCUUCUAUUCGCAAAGUCAAAUUCAGGCCGCAUUGUCGACGUGCAUGGCGGGUAAUAGCUAUUAUAUAACUAAUAAGUGCUUUUACACAAUGAAUUCGGUCCAAGAAAGGUCAAUGUAUUUUCUAUUAAGCACAUACAGUAUGGCUUCAUUCAGGCUUGGCGCGACAAUGUCGAUAUUGCAUACGUGUGCAUGUUUAUUGUGCAUGGUGGAGAUGUUAUUGACGGUUCUUUAUACGAUGUUUUUGAAGAGUUGCAUGGCGGUAUUAUAAAGCACACCUCGCACAAAGCGAGGUGUUUUACAGCCAGUAAAUAUAUAUAUGCACCGCAAUCUCCUAAAACACAGGAGUAUAUAUAGUCGUUCGAGGUUGCUUUUUUGUUCAUUAUGAUUUGCUGCAUAUUUCUCACAUGCAGUCACGAUUGUUCACCACCACCACCGAUAUAGAUGAUGGCGACGUCUGUAUAACAUCAACUGUAAUCGCGAUGUUGCUUAAUUAUUUUGAAAAAUUAGAGACGUAGCUGUUCUCAGUUGAUUGCAGUCUGCACUAAAAUGCAGCUGCAUAGUAUAUUCCUGUGUUUAUAGUCAAUACGGAUUAACAUCCUAAGAAUAGAAAUAUAUUGAAAGAUGCGGGUAUGCACGGCGGUACAUUAAUUAGACAGCAAUCUACAGUGUUUGAUCUUUUGUUAUUAGUUAUUAACUCAGAGCUUCACAAUCACAAUAGUUUUCCUGAGUUUUUAAUUAGAAACUCCUACAUCCUAAAAUGAACUAUUUAUGUGUAUUAAACUGUCAGAAAACUCCGGUAUCCUGUUGAUAACCCACGUAGAAAGAAUUUAUUAAGUCAUAUUUGAAGAAUUCGUUUUCUAAAUUUGUAACUUUUCAAAAGAAAUAUUGAGUGGCAUUCAUGUAAUGUUGUGACAAUGACUAAUAAUUAUCAUUCUGAAUAUAGGAUCAUUCACUGCGUGUGCUGAAAUGAACACAUUUUUAGGCUCGAAUAUUAUUGCAAAUGUCAAGUUUUAUGUGAUCUUAGUUUUAACAACUUCGGCAAAAUUCGAAACACGCGAGCUUCUUUGUCGCGUGUCAGAACAACACAACCGCGAGAUAUAUUUCAGUAUCUUUAAUAAUUUGAUGCGGAAUUUGUGGCUGAUCCAAGCUACUCUUGCAUUUUUAAUUUUUUAAAACAAACGAAACAUUAACAAUCACAAUGUUGUGAAUGACAAUACUUGUAUCUGGAACAUUCGACGCGGCAACUAUUGAACACCAUGGCUUAACUAUUUUUAGACGCAGUUUGUCAUUAUUCCGCAGUCUCUUUUGACAUAUUUCCAAAUUAUUGACAUAUAUUGAGUGACCUUAGCGAAGCAAUUAACGCGGUAUUUUGAAAGACCACGGACAGUGGGUGAUCUUUGCGACAAACUACCCUAUAAUAUACACUUAUAGUGUUUACCUAUAACAGUCCUGCUAGUUUACAGGAUAACUAGAUCUCUUCCUUUCAAACACUAUAGAUAUAUAAGCAUUGAAUACCGGAGGUUUUUUAAUAAUGCGCAGGUUUGUUCCAGAAAGCGCCUCGGUAUAUGAAGCUAGUUUUGUGUAUCGAUUAUCACCGAUGUUAGAGUUACCUCGAGGAUUGACGAAUAAAUGAACAAUGCCAGUGAAAUAGUAAAACACAGACUCUCCAUAGCGGAAGCAGUAGAAUUUUAUCCUUCAAAAGCGUAAAAUAUAUACAAAAGAAAGCUCUGGAAGUUUUAAGUUAAGGGCUUUGUAAAGAGCUGAAUUCUCCUAACGAAUGUCCUUGGGUCGAAACGUCUAGAAGGUUUAUUGUAUACAUACUUGUAUAUUAUUUUAAGUUGUUAAAGCAAUUUUACUAUUCCCUGCUUUGUGUAUAUAUGCAUUUCUUGGAGCUGCAUUUUGAACACGGCCAGGAUCUGUGCAUGCAUGCAUGCACCCGAUAAGAAUCGCUUAUCAAUAAGUAUACAACGAUACUUUAUAGGAUUUGAAAGUCUAAAGGUGCAUGCAUUUUUCAUGAUUUCUGUACCAAUUCUAAUAAAUUAAUAGCAAUUAACUCGAGUAAUUUCAUGUUUUGCGUGCUUAAGUUUACCGAAGUAUAUAUAGCCAAGUCCUCUCUAUAGACGUAGCCUACGUACACAAACUAUGUUUGGCUAUAAAAGUAUAGGGAAAGACAGUAGUUCGUGGGGCAUCACAGCAGCUGUUUCAUGCAUAUAAUUAUGAACAAACUCAAAAUACUUUAUUUUUGAAAUAUAUCGAAAUCGAUGUUUCAUUUUACUAUCGUAAUACUUUCAUCAUUCUUUUACAACUAUGCUACAAAUGUUUGGAAUUGUUCAUGUUUUAUUUUUAAUAAUAGUGUAUGUAUUAAUUGUCUUUGGACGAACACCUUCACAACAUGAAACGAAGAUGAAAGGGUUUGAAACAAUAAAGUAUUUGAACAGCACCAUGCAACCCAUUAAUAAUAUGGCUGUUAAAAUGAAAAGGAAAACAAAUUGAAAAGGGCCUCUGUGGUGAAACCCAGCGGUACCCUGUUGUAAAGUACUGUUAUUUACCCCCAGUCAAGAGCUAUCUUAUCCCGAUUAUCCCAUAUUAAUAAGACCAUUAAAAGAUUUUGAUAAAUCGUAUAACCUAUUUUCAUUUGCUUUGAAAUGGAAUGAAACAUAGUGGUAUUAUAGGUAGCUAGAAGAGUUUCACAGGAAGUUAUUCCAAACGGCGUACGUAUAGUGUUUGAACAGCUGCAAGACCAUUGCUAUAAGUGACUUCAUAAUAUAUUAAUUUCAGUAUUUAAGAUAGGUUGGAUAGUUUAAGGGGGAUGACUAGAAAUUUUCUCCCUAUAGAAAUGGUCUGGUUACAUAUAGGUAUUGUUUAGUUAACAUUUCAUCGUACCCAGCUGAUUGCUGGUGAUCUAUGGAAAUACUAAAGACCAAGCAAGCAUGCGUUUUUUCAUUGUAUGCCAUUUUUGAAUAGCAGUAUAAUCAUGGCGCAGGCUGAAUAACAGGGAACUCUUGGGAAAACAGAAACAAUGAUAUAACCCGGCAGCUUUUUAACACUAAAACAUGAAGCGUUUAUACAUGUAUCAUCAGUUAUGACAGGAAAUUGACGCUAUAUUUUUUAUAACCCCAUGCACCAAAAGCUGUUUUAUGCAAAGAAAGAUUUGCUCAAAAGACAGGUGUAGUGGAAUUAUUUCCUCAUUAUUUUCUCAAGAAAAGGCCAAUAUUACAAUACAAAUUAGAAUGCUUUAUUCUUCAUUGUUGAAAAGUUGCAUGUCGGACAAACUUGAAGUUUACUGAAUGGUAAUUAGUCGCAAACUCGUGCGCUUGAAUGCAUAUAUAGCUAUCGCAUUUCAUACAACAGAUUUUUUCAAAAAGCAUAUAUGGCUAUAUGUUUUUCCCAGCCGAAGACAUCAGUUGUUGUUAUUUUUGUUAUGAGAAAAAUCUUUUCAUUCCUCAAAUGUCUGAAUAAAAAAACACAGUAUGACUUUGUCUAAACAACCCUUUAUUGAUGCUUUGUAAAAACAUUCCGGCACGGACGCGAAAUGAGAAAUUUAGCAUUUUGCCCGCACUCCCAAGAUCAACACAUUUAUAAUGUUUGUACAUUAAAUACAAACUUCACACACAAAGGCAUGUUUCCGCAAUAUAUAGGGACAUCAAAUUGAGUGUCAAACUACUGUUAAUUUCUUAACAAGCAAUCAAAUUUUAAUUUAUUUACUUUAAGGGCAAUUUAUCCUAUGCUAUGUAUACACGAUCGCGUAAUAGCUCUAAAUCUAUUUCAGCUAGACCUUGCAUGCGAGAAUAUAAUUCCCUUCAUCGCUAAAAAGUUAGAAUAGUUUUCGCAUUCUAAGAUGAUAAUCUUUUGUGUUUAUACAGCAACAACAAAGAUAUUAUCCUUCAAUCGGUCCAAAUGAAUGGCUGGCUAGUAUUUAAUUGCAUGAUAUUCAAAACUGGUGACAACAUAAACGAAAUCGCAAUAUUGUAGGAACUAGAAAACAUGGAAACGAAAUAUUCUUGUGAUGAAUAUUACAUACAAAUAUUCCAAUGCUUGAGCAAACAUUAGAAGCAGAAAUAACAACUUAUUUAAUAGGCGGUAACUGUCAAUAGCAACAAAAUCCGAUUAAUCCACAUCAUUAAGACGAAGUUUAUUAUCAUUUGGGAUUAGUUAUGAGGUUAGUCUAUUGCGCUAUAUCCUGUUUUCUACGCAUUAAAAAUAGACAUGAAUCCAAUAAUCAACGCGGAGACUCGCGGUUAUAUGGUCUCGCACGGAAAAAGUCAUAUACCCAGUCGUUGAUAUUGCGGCCCGUGAAAACAUCAAAACUCGCAAAUCAAACACUGUUUGUUCAUUACACUUUUUUACAGAGGCGUGAUUAAUUUAUACCUGCCAGUUGGCAACAUUUCGAUAUAAACUUGCUCGUGCUGCGAAUUGUAGGAAUGAAUCAAGAACUAUGUGGAGAUAUAAGAUCAAGCAGAUUUUGAAUGUGGCCCUGGGUGACAUUUUGCAUACAAAUUGAUUUGAUAAGUCACACAUGCAUGCAUGUGUACGGCAUAUUUUGUUUGGCUACAACGUAUCCAUGCAAACUGUUUGCGACAACCCUUAAUUGAAAUGAAUUUAGAAGUACAUAUGACUUUUCGAUAGGCCGCUGGUAUAUUUUCUGUAUAAACAUAAUUUGUUAUUUAUACUAUGUUAUAUAUGAGUGUUUGAUCGACUCAUGUUUAUAUUCCAUAUACUGCGGUCGGUAUACAACCGGAAAUACAGCGGUGUUGGUGAAACCCAUUGCCGCUACUUUAAGAUUUCAUCACUAGAGAUCAAUCAGUACACAUGAAUGAGUGUUGAAUGAUGAGAGGUGCUUAUACCCAGCCAAGUAAGCCAUCAACAUAUAUUCCGUCAUAUGAUUUAACAGAUUGUUCUGAAUAUAUGCUUGGAAAACAAUUACCGUUUACUAAUUAGCGAUAUUCGCAACACAAGUUUGGACCAGCCAAGCGCUAUAUAGAUCGAUGCAUGGAUUAGUUUGUGACAUGCUGUUGGGAAAUUCUGAAUAGUAUAUUAAACAAUUGAAUUUUACAUUACCUAUUUUGCCCCAAUCCGGCCUACGACAGAUAGCUAAAUACAGUGAUGUAUGUGCUUCCUGCAGCAAAUGAUCAGUUUUUUUGAAGUUCUGAAUAGAAAAGAUGAAAUUAACAGAUAUCAUCGUAUUUUUGUGGCCUAUCUA